rnacentral:rRNA from 1 species
AUUGAACGCUGGCGGAAUGCUUUACACAUGCAAGUCGAACGAUGAACCUUAGCUUGCUAGGGGGAUUAGUGGCGAACGGGUGAGUAACAUAUCGGAACGUACCUAGUAAUGGGGGAUAACUAGUCGAAAGAUUAGCUAAUACCGCAUACGCCCUGAGGGGGAAAGUAGGGGAUCUUCGGACCUUACGUUAUUAGAGAGUCCGAAUUCUGAUUAGCUAUGUGGUGGGGUAAAGGCCUGCCAAGGCGACGAUCAGUAGCUGGGCUGAGAGGACGACCAGCCACACUGGAACUGAGACACGGUCCAGACUCCUACGGGAGGCAGCAGUGGGGAAUUUUGGACAAUGGGGGCAACCCUGAUCCAGCCAUUCCGCGUGAGUGAAGAAGGCCUUCGGGUUGUAAAGCUCUUUCGCAAGGGAAGAAAACUUACAUUCUAAUAAAGUGUGAGGCUGACGGUACCUUGAUAAGAAGCACCGGCUAACUACGUGCCAGCCGCCGCAGUAA